AAAAGCAGCCUGACAAAGGUGAAGUGGUUGCAUCCUUAAAUGCUAGUCCGCGUCCGCGGGCGACACCCUCAAAUUGCGGGAAGUUCUUAAAGCCCAAACUACCAAGUGGCCGUCGAAAGGCGGUCAUGGCCAGGGUAAUGACCUCGGGUAUGGUAACAACGUUUGGGAUGUCACAAUAGAUAAUCCGCAGCCAAGCACCCUCCCCCACGGCGACGUGGGCGGGUGAAGGUUCAGAGACUAAAUGGGGGUGGGUAAGAGUAACAGCGUUCGAGCAUCAGAAUCUCUUGCUUAAGAUAUAGUCCAAUCCUGAAGGGAAACCUUUGG
rnacentral:ncRNA from 1 species